UACGUAGGGUGCGAGCGUUAAUCGGAAUUACUGGGCGUAAAGCGUGCGCAGGCGGUUUUGUAAGUCUGUCGUGAAAUCCCCGGGCUCAACCUGGGAAUUGCGAUGGAGACUGCAAGGCUAGAAUCUGGCAGAGGGGGGGGUAGAAUUCCACGUGUAGCAGUGAAAUGCGUAGAGAUGUGGAGGAACACCGAUGGCGAAGGCAGCCCCCCUGGGUCAAGAUUGACGCUCAUGCA
rnacentral:rRNA from 1 species